UACAGGGGGGGCAAGCGUUGUUCGGAAUUACUGGGCGUAAAGGGUUUGUAGGUGGCUUGCUUAGUCAGACGUGAAAUCCCUCGGCUUAACCGAGGAACUGCCAUCCAGACUGCUUGGCUUGAGACCGGGGAGAGGUGAGUGGAAUUCCCAGUGUAGCGGUGAAAUGCGUAGAUAGUUGGGAGGAACACCAGUGGCGAAGGCGGACUCACUGGACCGGUACUGACGCUGAGGU
rnacentral:rRNA from 1 species